rnacentral:misc_RNA from 1 species
AUUUCCACCUAGGUCCUUCCUAAAAAAGGGAUCUUUCUGUUGAAUUUCUAUAAUUGAAGCUGUAACAUCCACUGCGACAGGAAUGCAUCCUCUGCUCCUCCAGGUCGAUAUCCUUUGAAGAGCAAAAGCAACAGAUUGAGGAGAAGAAGAGAAAAGGGAAUCUCGAAUAGAGUUCCAUUCAUCCCAGCUUAUCCAUGGCACCAAUUUGAGAGCUAGAGAGUUGCCUUCCACAGUUUCG